rnacentral:rRNA from 1 species
GACGAACGCUGGCGGCGCGCCUAACACAUGCAAGUCGAACGGAGCGGCGCGGAGUUUGCUUUUCUUUGCUUUGGCGAACACGGGUGAGUCACGUGAGAGUACUCUCCUCUAGUUUGGGGUACCAUAAGUGAACACGAGUUCUUAUACCGCAUAAGCUCACGCUCCAGGGUCGGGUUGGGGGAAAAGGGUUUGUUCGCGUUAGAAUGGACUCUUGUCCACUUAGCUAGGUGGUGAGGUAAUGGCACACCAAGGAGACGAAUGGUAGCCGGACUGAGAGGUUGAACGGCCACAUUGGGACUGAGACACGGCCCAGACUCCUACGGGAGGCAGGAGUGGGGGAUAUUGCACGAUGGGGGAAACCCUGAUGCAGCGACGCCGCGUGGAGGAAGAAGGUUUUCGGAUUGUAAACUCCUGUCGUUAGGGACGAUAAUGACGGUACCUAACAAGAAAGCACCGGCUAACUACGUG